UCUCCGUUGGUGAACCAGCGGAGGGAUCAUUACAGAGUUGCAAAACUCCCAAACCAUUGUGAACGUUACCUAUCCCGUUGCUUCGGCGGGCGGCCCGGGCCCCGCGCCCGGCGCCCCCCGGCCCCCCGUGGGCGCCCGCCGGAGGUAAACCAAACCCUUGAAUUGCAUGGCCUCUCUGAGUCUUCUGUACUGAAUAAGUCAAAACUUUCAACAACGGAUCUCUUGGUUCUGACAUCGAUGAAGAACGUAGC
rnacentral:misc_RNA from 1 species